CAGUCGUACCGGCGGAAAAUCAGCCCUUCGAGUGCGAACUUGUGGGCGUGCGUGAGUCUUUAACGGGCCUCGCUGUUUGCAAUGUUUGUCCUUUUGGGGUGUACUUUUUCGUGUGGUAAGUUAACAUCAAUUUCGGUCGUCAUAAAAUGAUUGGAGGAAUGUAGGCUUUGAUCUCGUAUCGAAGUGUUAUAGACUCUGGUAGAUGUGACGGUUGGGAUUGAGGAUUGCAACGGAUACCCUUCGGGGGCUACCCGUCUGAUCUCUGAAGGUUGCUCCGGUGCCGAAAGCGUGCUUACGGUCAUCGAAAGUGAUUUUCAAAAGGUUAGAACGGGUUAAAUUCGUUAAGGAUGUUGACGUAAUGGACUUUAAACGACCCGUCUUAGAAACACGGACCAAGGAGUCUAACAUAUAUGCGAG
rnacentral:rRNA from 1 species